rnacentral:rRNA from 1 species
AGCGAACGCUGGCGGCAGGCCUAAUACAUGCAAGUCGAACGGGAUUAAGAGGCUUGCUUCUUAUGAGAGUGGCGCACGGGUGCGUAACACGUAUGCAACCUACCUUCAACUGGGGGAUAGCCUUCCGAAAGGGAGAUUAAUACCGCAUAAUAUGAUUGAGUGGCAUCACUUGAUUAUCAAACGUCAGGGUUGAAGAUGGGCAUGCGUCCGAUUAGUUUGUUGGCGAGGUAACGGCUCACCAAGACUACGAUCGGUAGGGGAUCUGAGAGGAUGGCCCCCCACACUGGUACUGAGACACGGACCAGACUCCUACGGGAGGCAGCAGUAAGGAAUAUUGGUCAAUGGACGGAAGUCUGAACCAGCCAUGCCGCGUGCAGGAAGACGGUCCUCUGGAUUGUAAACUGCUUUUGUUAGGGAAGAAACUUCCGUACGUGUACGGGACUGACGGUACCUAAAGAAUAAGGAUCGGCUAACUCCGUGCCAGCAGCCGCAGUAAUAC